AGAGCGAACGCUGGCGGCAGGCCUAACACAUGCAAGUCGAACGGAUCCUUCGGGAUUAGUGGCAGACGGGUGAGUAACACGUGGGAACGUGCCUUUUGGUUCGGAACAACUCAGGGAAACUUGAGCUAAUACCGGAUGUGCCCUUCGGGGGAAAGAUUUAUCGCCAUUAGAGCGGCCCGCGUCUGAUUAGCUAGUUGGUGAGGUAAAGGCUCACCAAGGCUUCGAUCAGUAGCUGGUCUGAGAGGAUGAUCAGCCACACUGGGACUGAGACACGGCCCAGACUCCUACGGGAGGCAGCAGUGGGGAAUCUUGCGCAAUGGGCGAAAGCCUGACGCAGCCAUGCCGCGUGAAUGAUGAAGGUCUUAGGAUUGUAAAAUUCUUUCACCGGGGAAGAUAAUGACGGUACCCGGAGAAGAAGCCCGGCUAACUUCGUGCCAGCAGCCGC
rnacentral:rRNA from 1 species